rnacentral:lncRNA from 1 species
GAGCGGCCCCGCCCCCGCGCCGGGCGGAGCUGCGGGAGAAGGCUGGGCGGCCGCCCGUGUGCUGCAGGAGUCUGCUGCUGGGACGUUUCCAUGCCCGCUUCUUCCCUUUAUUCCCUUCUUCAUCUCUUUUAUUUCCCUUUCAUUCCUCCCAUUCUUUCCUUCUCCCUCCUCUUUCCCUUCCUCUUUCCUUCCUUUUCCCUCGCCUUUUCCUUUCUUUCUUCCCUCCCUACAUCCUUCUCUUCCUUUCUUUCCUUCUCUCCCUUCCUCCAUCUCUUCGUCUUUCCCUCUCUCCUUCUUUCUCCCACUUUCCUUCCUCUCUCCUCUCUUUUCUCCCGCCGUUCUGCUUCCUUCCCUUUUAAUUUUUCCCCUUAAAAAAUUGUUUUUAAACUGUUUUGAACUGUGGUAAAAAACAUAAAAUUUAUCAUCUUAACCAUUUUUGUUUUUAAAGAUUUGCUGUGAGCUAACAUCUGUUGCCAGUAUUCUUUUUAAAUUCUUCCUCUUCUCCGCAAAGCCCCCCAGUACAUGGUUGUAUCUUCUAGUUGUGAGUGCCUCUGGUUGUGGCAUGUGGGACGCCGCCUCAAGCGUUGCCUGAUGAGCCGUGCCAUGUCCGCGCCCAGGAUCCCAACUAGCAAAACCCCCUGGAUGGGAAAGCGGAGCAUGAACCCAAACACUUGCCCGCAGGCUGGCCCCCCAUCUGAACCAUUUUUGAGCAUAUGGUUCCGUGGUGUUGAGUACAUUCACAUUGUUGUCAGCCAUCUCCAGAACUCUUCAUCCUGCAGAACAGAAACUCUAGACCUGUUGAAUAACGACAACCAUUUCCCCCUCCUCCCAGCCUCUCGUAACCACGUUCUACUCUUUUUUUCUUCAUUCUUCCUUUUGCCUUUCUGUGCCUUUCUCCCUUUUCCUUUAUCUCUCCUUUUUCUUCCCCUCCCUCUUUCCGUCUUUCUCUUCUUAAAAGCCUGAUGGCCCUGAUUCACCCUUGCCAGCCCUCCACAGCCUCUGCCAGGGGCUGGGCCAGAGGCCUGUCAGCCAGGGCUGUGAGCGCGGGGAAGGAGCAUGUACUCAAAGAUCCGACCAGGAAGAAAGAUUUGAUCUCCCGGCAGGAUCCACUUCCCAUGGCGACGCCUUCUUGAGUCGAAGCUCUGAUCUUUUUGGUGAAUGCCUUGGAGGUUUGGGUUCAGUGGACUUUGACUGCGUGUCUCCAGAAAGCUCAGCACAUGCCUCCUGAAGCAGAUAUCCAGCCGGCUGAAGCUUGCUGCCGUGGAACCAAUCGUGAGACCGUUGCACAGUGGUGUCUGCGUGAGAUCAGUGCAAUACCGUGAAGAGUCCGCUUGAUUUGGGGGAAGUGCUCGCACAGCAGUCAAGAGGUCUAGAUCCUUUGGGCCUCUGCACCCAUGCUACUAGCUCCAUUUUACACAUGAAGAAAUGGAGGUUCAGAGAGGUGAAGUGACUUGCUCCAGGUCACACAGCUGCCAGGAGAAGAGCAAGCUGAGGUGCCUGGUCCCUGUCUAUGAGCGGCUGCCCUGGCAGAGAGAGCAGUCAUCCAAGGAAUGCCACUGAGCUGACUGCAGAGGCCAUCAGAGGCGGGCCUGUCCAAGCUGCCCAGCGCCAUUCAGGACAAGUGAAGGUCCUGGGCUGAUAGCCAGACUGACUUCCUGACUGGCAUUCCUGCCUCCAGCCCCAGCUCACUGCAGUCCACCCCCACAUCAGCCGGAGAGCCUUCCUCAAAGUGACUAGAAGAGCACACAUCGACACUGAAGGUAGAGUGGGGAGCUUGGAAGAACCUGGAAGACACCAUUGCACCCUGAUUCAACACACCCUGAGGGCCGUCCCACUCUAGACUUUCUGCAUUGUGAGAUAAUACACUUCUGUUAUUCACAGCUGAAAGCUUCUUGGCCCAUACAGAGAGGUGAGGUACAUAGAAGGAUGAGAAGAGCUCAAAGGAAAGACUUGGAGAACCCGGAUUUUGUCCCAGCUUUGUUCCCACUGUGGUGCACCCCCGGGCAAGGUGCUGCCUCUCACUGGCACUUAGCUCCCGAGGUUGAGAGAAAUAUUUCUGGGAGCCAAGCGCCAGGACCCCCCUUCCUUUCCAAUCAUAGAUAAACUGGUGGCCC